ensembl:ncRNA T05A6.17 ncRNA
CAACCCAGAAAGACAGUUCCCCACGAGAAGACCUUGGAACGGACUUUUUAUUGCGGUUUGCAUUCAAUCUCCGAGUAGACAUUUUGAAGAGGGAACGGGAGGGCUAUUACGUGGCGUGGAGGGGCACUACGU